UUUUGAGAUCGUGCUUUUCUUCUGCCUUUUCCUGUUUCUUUUCCAGCUUUUCACUGAUUCAUUUGUUGCACGCAGAAUCUUCUACUUUUUUUUUUUUAAUACUCUGCACAAACAGGAUCCUAAAAUCUUAUUUUCCAUAUAUGCAUCGGUCAGAUGCCAAAAGGGAAAAGGCGAGUCUCUUUUCCGUGUCGCAAGCAUGUGUUUUUUAGGACGAACGAAUUGCAACGAAGUCAGCAAAGUUUAGUGUCUGGAGUGUGUUUUCCAGAGCAGGUGUCCCGGCCCCCUGCUCCCUCACUGGUCGGUGGCUGAUUUGGCCUCGGCUCCCCCGGGUGCCGUCGGUGCGCGCAGGCUGGAAAAACAGGCCGGGACAUUAAAGGAGCGCGUGUUUGGAAAAGGAAGACUCGGGUGAGGUGUAGAGGAAACGCGUCGGUUAACAGGCUGCUCUUAUCGCGGCCCAGUCCAGGUGGAUCAACCCGUGGAUUUAUUUCAAACUCAUGUCCCCCCCCUUUAACCCCCCGCCUCCUUUUUUGGGUCGAGUGCGACACACCUCGAUGCCCACGACUGAUAAUGCGCUCUGGCAUUGCGCACUGAUGGCUGGAUUUAUUGACAUCUUUAUUACAGUUGGACCCAAAUGCAGAAGGAGGGAGCCAGUGAAAACAAUAUUUCUCCCGAGGGUGUUAUAAAGGUCACGAACAGCAGCCACCUGUCAGACUCCUGUGUGUGUGUGAACCACCCACCACCACACAUCCUCCCUGCUGGCCGCUGACAGUGGACUGGCCUCCACUUCAUGCGACAGCAAUUGCUCUGAGCGUCUAAUAAGUUUGACUUGAAAAGAGUUGAAAGCCCCACGAGUCACGUAGAGAUGCUGAAGGGUGCCUCAGUGCGUUGCUAUUGGACGCCAAGGGGCACUGAUCCAGCAAAGGUGUAUAUUUGGCAAGUCGGGAGUGAGACUGUAACCAGGGAGUUUGACCAGUCGCUGUAUUAUUUUGAGGCGUGUGCACAAGAAAAGCAGUGCCUGUUUCGGUGUUGACCCAAAACAAACCUUUAUUUCUUGAACAGCUGCAGAUGAAGAACAGCAAUGACGAAAAGAGGGACCAGAGAUGUCUUCGCUUGGACUGAGGACGAGGUCGAACCGUUGCUCAGAGUCAUGUGAUAGGGGCGUGGCCAAUCGGGGAAGUACACGCCGUGACUAAGACCCAAUUAGAAAACGCAGGAAUCUCCUCUUCCUGUGCGGAAGUUUAUCGUGGUCAGUCUGCCCGUCACUGGCGCCUCCCAAAGGAAAGUGACAGCGGCUUUAUUCAACCGCUGACCCGUGAAGAGGACAGCGGAAGAAAAAAGAAUAAAAACAUGUGCGUCUGUGUAACCUGACUAAGGGCUUCUUUUCUCUGCAGCAAGGAGGUGCGAUGGAUCUUGUACCAUCAGCACGACCUCUGCAUAUGUGUGUGUGUGUCAUGCAUCCAGUGUCAUGUCCUUUAACCGACCCCAACGGCGUGAAUGCAUCUCCCCUCCCUCUUUUCGGCCUCUUUUGUGUGUACAGAUAGAAAACAAAUCCUCAAAUCCUCAAAAUGGCCUAGUGAUGUCCUUUUUUUCUACUCUCCACACACACAGAUCCGUUCUUAUUUUUCUAUUUCCCCUCUCAAAGUCGAGGCCUUGCAAGCCUUGAAGAUAGAUAGAUAAAACGGAUAGAGAGAUGAUGUCCAUCUGCUCUGAUGAUCUCUCUCCAACUUUGUUUGGCAUCAGCUUUUUCUCCAUGGUCCCACCAGCCCCAGAGAACCCAGUCACUGGCCUUUUCUUGACCCAGUUUAGGACUUCCACUCCAGGCUUUCUGAUCCGUUCACUCUGUUGGGGUUCAACAGAGAAUCCUGAGAUUAUCGGAUGGUCACUUAAGAGGGAACGGGAGAGAGAGCGAAGUGCUGUCCACUUAUCUGAAGAUUAUCCUUUAAAAGGAAAGGACGGCGGUGGAGAUGGAGGAGAGAAGGAGGAAAAAAAAGAUGUGCUUAAGAGAUGGAUAUAGAGGGGGCGGGUGGAGGGAGAGAUUGCGCGGACAGUCGGGUGGAUCGACAGAGGGCAAAUGAAUCAUAUGGAGGUAACGUGUGUGUGGGAGAGGGUUAACAAAAAAGCGAGGAGAGAAAUACGGCAGCGAGGGGAAAGUCGAAAUGAAAAGGCUGAGAUGGAGGUGAUGUGACGGAGCGAGAGAGAGAGAGCAGAGGAUGGUUGAUGGAGAGAGGCAGAGAUGGAGAGAUAAAGAGAGGAGGAAGCAGGAAGGAUGAGGACAAGAGCUGGAUUAAGCAGUGAAAACAGGGAUUGGGAAGUGUUCACUAACUGAAGACCGUCGGCUGUUCUUUGUCUGGGUGACGGAGCGUAAAGCUUUUAUUUGACAAACAACCCGAACAAUCGAGAGCAAAACCUGAGUCACAGUUUAAUUACAGACUGAAUUAUUCUCCUCGUACAGAAACAUGUUAGUUUGACUCAUCCAUCCACCCUGACCUCCUUCCUAAGCACACUUGGUCCCUCUUUAUACUCCCUCACCUGACUUCCUUCAAUCAAUCACUGAAUGAGAACAGCAUAGUUAAUAAAAAAUAUAUAUUUUUAGCAGUUUUAAAAAUAGUCAAAAUCUCCGAGCUCUACCAGUAAUGCUAGUAACAUGUAACCUGUGUUUACUAAUAAAUUGUAGAUCUCAUAAUAUUUUUUCGCAAGAUCUCUGUUAUGAUUGUUGUAUUUUAUGUAUGUUCUAUUGCUUAUUGCAUGUGUCAAAAAAAUCUAUCCACAGUAUUGUUUGGCUGUGUUGAGUUGUAAUCUCGAGAGGAAAUUAUUGUUUAUUUGUCGUUUGUUUAUAGAUUGACCAACAACAGUUAUUUAGGAUAUUUCUCUUCAUGGGCCUUGGGUUUAGUAUGAAUGCAAAAUUAUUUAAAAUCCCAAUGCAUUCAUACUUCGUCCAUUCAUUUAUACAUAUACAUUCAUGAACGGAUAAACU